rnacentral:siRNA from 1 species
UAUUUAACUGUGUUUUAGAGC